rnacentral:lncRNA from 1 species
GUUCUUUAGUAGAAGGAUAACAUGACAUAGCAGGAAUAAUACUGCCUUUUCUUUCUGGCAUGGAUCAAGAGAAAAGAAAAUACAAGAAAACAGACAGAAGAUCCUAUCUGCGACAAUUAAGAGCACUCUAAGAGGAAAACACAUCCCACCACACAAGGCAAGGUACUUCUAUGGAAGGGUGAGCCCUCACAGAUGGAGCAAUGGGGCGCGCACACCUGAACAAGGGAGGGGAAGGAGUUCUUAUCCCUGAUGCAUGUGACCCCUGCUGCUGUGUCCUUCCCCUAUUGGCUAAGGUUAGACCACACAGCCUAAACUAAUUCCGAUUGGCUAAUUCAAAGAGAGCGACGGGGGCUUCUGACAGCUUUGGAGAUUGUGACAUUGGAAUAAAGGAAAAACGUACAGGACUCAUGAAGCGCUGAAAUGUUCACAAAUAUCAAGCAAAAGUCAAUGAAAUUUAUUUUGAGCUAUUUACAUCAUUUAAUAAUUGAGCAAGGUAUACUCCUAUGAACAAAAUUUGGAGCAUGUUUGUCUCUCUCUGCCUGGCGUCUUCAGAAUUUGGAAACUAGUUAUGGUUUAUAAUCAGCUAUAGAAUUUUAACACGUGCUCUCAAAUGCAAGUUUCUGAUAACUUUGGAGAUUGUGACAUUGGAAUAAAGGAAGAGCUGGAAUGUUCAUGAAUAUCAAGCAAAAGUCAUGGAAAUUUAUUUUGAGCUAUUUACAGCAUUUAAUAAUUGAGCAAGGUAUACUCCUAUGAACAAAAUUUGGAGCAUGUUUGUCUCUCUCUGUCUGCCUGGCAUCUACAGAAUUUGGAAACUAGUUGUGCUGUACUGCAUGAGAAUGCCUGCAUUUAGUAUGCGAACUGGAAUUGGCAAAGGACGAUGGCUGCUCUCCCGCUAACUUUAAAUAAGUCAUGUCACAAAUUGCAUUCGUUCCCAGAUUUCCUAAACUUUCCAGAGAAAAUGGUCUUCUCCCUGGCUCAGCAAGAAGAUGAACUUUAAACACUGAGAAACUGGUCAUCUCCCUGGCUCAACCAGAAGAUGAACUUUAAACACUACUCUCAAUGACUUGAUGUUCCCAUCACUACUCCUGUCAUAAAGGGAGGGGACUCAGAUAUUGAGAAUUUUAUGAUAGUGUGAACUGUCUGGUAUGUCAUUUAAGUAAGCCCGUUGCUGAAAUAUUUUCCAUGUUAUUAGAAAGAGCUGAAGAGAGGGAUUGAGAUGGCUUCUUUAUUUUUUGUCUUUUGGGAAUUAAAGGAACCUGGUUCAACAAGGGCCUACACCUAAGUCUCUUGUUGUACCAGAGUACAAUUUAGGACUGCUCCUGAGGAAGGAAUUAGCUAGAAAUCUAGAGAGUAAGGGUAACAGAUUUACAUAGAAUAACAGCCUCAGUAUUUUUGGUUCCUCUCCAGUAAAGAUCACAAAGAAUAUUGCUAAAUCGCUAAAACACCUUUGCAAUAACGUAAGGGCUUACAACUAUAUACCAAUGUAGCUCAGUUACUAAACUGGAGUAAACUAAUUUCUCUUGUGUAGAAAAAUUGGUUGGCUGUGGUUUUAUAGCAGAUCUGCAAUUAUUAAUAGUUAUGCCAAUAAUCGUUUAACAGUGCAUAUGUUAAUAUAUAUGGAAAGACAAUGUGUAUAGACAGAUGUGUAAAAUUGAAAAAUAAACAUAUAACAAGAGAGAAACAUCUAUCGAACAGACAAUAUACAUACACAUCAAACACAACAGCAGUUUUAGUGACCAUAAUAUUUAUUUCUCAUUUUUACAUUGCUUACUUUAGUGACAACUGAAAAUGACAGUUGGCAAUGCAGCUAACAGUUUCAAUAAAAGUAUAAAACAAAAGACUGUGUACAAAGCACCUGUCUUUCCGCUUUUGUAAUCUUCCGUUGGAAAAAAUUUACACACCUAAGUAACCAUCUGUUUUCUUCAAGAAAAAAUCAUUCUUAUUUCUCUCUCUCAUCUUGAAAACAGCUGUCAGCCAGGAGGGCAGAGCUGAAAUUUAUUGCCACAUCACAUGAAGCAUAGAACAGACUCCACUACUCCUUGAGAUUCAAAACUUUGCCUCUCACAAAGUUACCUUUUAUUUUCCUCUUGUUUGUCACUCAUCUCCCCUAGUGUGCUCUUUUUAUUUCUUUUACUAUUAAUAAUAAAAUCUGUGGAUGACUGUAUUAUUGAA